rnacentral:misc_RNA from 1 species
UGUAGGGAACCUUUUUUUUUUAAAUUGGCGGGUUGAAUCAGACUGAACUGCUAGAUUUGAUCUGAUUCAAGGUUCAGAGGGGGUUGGACAGAGAUCAGCCUCCUUUAAAGAUAAUUACGGUUCAGGUGGGGCCUAUGAAUCAUUGACCUAUUCUAGUCCUAGGCUUGUCUAGGUCCAAUUCUGAGUCCAAACUGGACCAUGGCGAGGCCUACUUUACUGCACUGUGUAUCCCCUUCACUCUUCCCCCCCACUUGACCUUAUAUUAAUGUGUCUGCCAUAGUUAUUAAAGGUGCAAAGG